rnacentral:rRNA from 1 species
GUGGGGAAUAUUGGGCAAUGGGGGAAACCCUGACCCAGCAACGCCGCGUGAGGGAAGAAGGUUUUCGGAUUGUAAACCUCUGUCCUUGGUGACGAAGGAAGUGACGGUAACCAAGGAGGAAGCCCCGGCUAACUACGUGCCAGCAGCCGCGGUAAUACGUAGGGGGCAAGCGUUGUCCGGAAUGACUGGGCGUAAAGGGCGUGUAGGCGGCCGAUUAAGUCUGGAGUGAAAGUCCUGCUUUCAAGGUGGGAAUUGCUUUGGAGACUGGUUGGCUUGAGUGCGGAAGAGGUAAGUGGAAUUCCCAGUGUAGCGGUUAAAUGCGUAGAGAUUGGGAGGAACACCAGUGGCGAAGGCGACUUACUGGGCCGUAACUGACGCUGAGGCGCGAAAGCGUGGGGAGCGAACAGGAUUAGAUACCCCUGUAGUCC